rnacentral:rRNA from 1 species
GGGUUGUGAGGUUAAGCGACUAAGCGUACACGGUGGAUGCCCUGGCAGUCAGAGGCGAUGAAGGACGUGCUAAUCUGCGAUAAGCGUCGGUAAGGUGAUAUGAACCGUUAUAACCGGCGAUUUCCGAAUGGGGAAACCCAGUGUGUUUCGACACACUAUCAUUAACUGAAUCCAUAGGUUAAUGAGGCGAACCGGGGGAACUGAAACAUCUAAGUACCCCGAGGAAAAGAAAUCAACCGAGAUUCCCCCAGUAGCGGCGAGCGAACGGGGAGGAGCCCAGAGCCUGAAUCAGUGUGUGUGUUAGUGGAAGCGUCUGGAAAGGCGCGCGAUACAGGGUGACAGCCCCGUACACAAAAAUGCACAUGCUGUGAGCUCGAUGAGUAGGGCGGGACACGUGGUAUCCUGUCUGAAUAUGGGGGGACCAUCCUCCAAGGCUAAAUACUCCUGACUGACCGAUAGUGAACCAGUACCGUGAGGGAAAGGCGAAAAGAACCCCGGCGAGGGGAGUGAAAAAGAACCUGAAACCGUGUACGUACAAGCAGUGGGAGCACGCUUAGGCGUGUGACUGCGUACCUUUUGUAUAAUGGGUCAGCGACUUAUAUUCUGUAGCAAGGUUAACCGAAUAGGGGAGCCGAAGGGAAACCGAGUCUUAACUGGGCGUUAAGUUGCAGGGUAUAGACCCGAAACCCGGUGAUCUAGCCAUGGGCAGGUUGAAGGUUGGGUAACACUAACUGGAGGACCGAACCGACUAAUGUUGAAAAAUUAGCGGAUGACUUGUGGCUGGGGGUGAAAGGCCAAUCAAACCGGGAGAUAGCUGGUUCUCCCCGAAAGCUAUUUAGGUAGCGCCUCGUGAAUUCAUCUCCGGGGGUAGAGCACUGUUUCGGCAAGGGGGUCAUCCCGACUUACCAACCCGAUGCAAACUGCGAAUACCGGAGAAUGUUAUCACGGGAGACACACGGCGGGUGCUAACGUCCGUCGUGAAGAGGGAAACAACCCAGACCGCCAGCUAAGGUCCCAAAGUCAUGGUUAAGUGGGAAACGAUGUGGGAAGGCCCAGACAGCCAGGAUGUUGGCUUAGAAGCAGCCAUCAUUUAAAGAAAGCGUAAUAGCUCACUGGUCGAGUCGGCCUGCGCGGAAGAUGUAACGGGGCUAAACCAUGCACCGAAGCUGCGGCAGCGACACUAUGUGUUGUUGGGUAGGGGAGCGUUCUGUAAGCCUGUGAAGGUGUGCUGUGAGGCAUGCUGGAGGUAUCAGAAGUGCGAAUGCUGACAUAAGUAACGAUAAAGCGGGUGAAAAGCCCGCUCGCCGGAAGACCAAGGGUUCCUGUCCAACGUUAAUCGGGGCAGGGUGAGUCGACCCCUAAGGCGAGGCCGAAAGGCGUAGUCGAUGGGAAACAGGUUAAUAUUCCUGUACUUGGUGUUACUGCGAAGGGGGGACGGAGAAGGCUAUGUUGGCCGGGCGACGGUUGUCCCGGUUUAAGCGUGUAGGCUGGUUUUCCAGGCAAAUCCGGAAAAUCAAGGCUGAGGCGUGAUGACGAGGCACUACGGUGCUGAAGCAACAAAUGCCCUGCUUCCAGGAAAAGCCUCUAAGCAUCAGGUAACAUCAAAUCGUACCCCAAACCGACACAGGUGGUCAGGUAGAGAAUACCAAGGCGCUUGAGAGAACUCGGGUGAAGGAACUAGGCAAAAUGGUGCCGUAACUUCGGGAGAAGGCACGCUGAUAUGUAGGUGAAGUCCCUCGCGGAUGGAGCUGAAAUCAGUCGAAGAUACCAGCUGGCUGCAACUGUUUAUUAAAAACACAGCACUGUGCAAACACGAAAGUGGACGUAUACGGUGUGACGCCUGCCCGGUGCCGGAAGGUUAAUUGAUGGGGUCAGCGCAAGCGAAGCUCUUGAUCGAAGCCCCGGUAAACGGCGGCCGUAACUAUAACGGUCCUAAGGUAGCGAAAUUCCUUGUCGGGUAAGUUCCGACCUGCACGAAUGGCGUAAUGAUGGCCAGGCUGUCUCCACCCGAGACUCAGUGAAAUUGAACUCGCUGUGAAGAUGCAGUGUACCCGCGGCAAGACGGAAAGACCCCGUGAACCUUUACUAUAGCUUGACACUGAACAUUGAGCCUUGAUGUGUAGGAUAGGUGGGAGGCUUUGAAGUGUGGACGCCAGUCUGCAUGGAGCCGACCUUGAAAUACCACCCUUUAAUGUUUGAUGUUCUAACGUUGACCCGUGAUCCGGGUUGCGGACAGUGUCUGGUGGGUAGUUUGACUGGGGCGGUCUCCUCCUAAAGAGUAACGGAGGAGCACGAAGGUUGGCUAAUCCUGGUCGGACAUCAGGAGGUUAGUGCAAUGGCAUAAGCCAGCUUGACUGCGAGCGUGACGGCGCGAGCAGGUGCGAAAGCAGGUCAUAGUGAUCCGGUGGUUCUGAAUGGAAGGGCCAUCGCUCAACGGAUAAAAGGUACUCCGGGGAUAACAGGCUGAUACCGCCCAAGAGUUCAUAUCGACGGCGGUGUUUGGCACCUCGAUGUCGGCUCAUCACAUCCUGGGGCUGAAGUAGGUCCCAAGGGUAUGGCUGUUCGCCAUUUAAAGUGGUACGCGAGCUGGGUUUAGAACGUCGUGAGACAGUUCGGUCCCUAUCUGCCGUGGGCGCUGGAGAACUGAGGGGGGCUGCUCCUAGUACGAGAGGACCGGAGUGGACGCAUCACUGGUGUUCGGGUUGUCAUGCCAAUGGCACUGCCCGGUAGCUAAAUGCGGAAGAGAUAAGUGCUGAAAGCAUCUAAGCACGAAACUUGCCCCGAGAUGAGUUCUCCCUGACCCUUUAAGGGUCCUGAAGGAACGUUGAAGACGACGACGUUGAUAGGCCGGGUGUGUAAGCGCAGCGAUGCGUUGAGCUAACCGGUACUAAUGAACCGUGAGGCUUAACCUUACAACGCCGAAGCUGUU